rnacentral:rRNA from 1 species
GAACGCUGGCGGCAUGCUUUACACAUGCAAGUCGAACGGUAACAGGCCUUCGGGCGCUGACGAGUGGCGAACGGGUGAGUAAUGCAUCGGAACGUGCCCAGAGGUGGGGGAUAACGCAGCGAAAGCUGUGCUAAUACCGCAUAUUAUCUGAGGGUGAAAGCGGGGGAUCGCAAGACCUCGCGCUAUUGGAGCGGCCGAUAUCAGAUUAGCUAGUAGGUGAGGUAAAGGCUCACCUAGGCGACGAUCCGUAGCGGGUCUGAGAGGAUGAUCCGCCACACUGGGACUGAGACACGGCCCAGACUCCUACGGGAGGCAGCAGUGGGGAAUUUUGGACAAUGGGGGCAACCCUGAUCCAGCCAUGCCGCGUGAGUGAAGAAGGCCUUCGGGUUGUAAAGCUCUUUCAGCCGGGAAGAAAUCGGCGCCUCUAACAUAGGCGUCGGAUGACGGUACCGGACCAAGAAGCACCGGCUAACUACGUG